UACGUAGGGUCCGAGCGUUGUCCGGACUUACUGGGCGUAAAGAGCUCGUAGGUGGUUUGUCGCGUUGUUCGUGAAAACUCACAGCUCAACUGUGGGCGUGCGGGCGAUACGGGCAGACUGGAGUACUGCAGGGGAGACUGGAAUUCCUGGUGUAGCGGUGGAAUGCGCAGAUAUCAGGAGGAACACCGGUGGCGAAGGCGGGUCUCUGGGCAGUAACUGACGCUGAGGAGCGAAAGCGUGGGGAGCGAACAGG
rnacentral:rRNA from 1 species